rnacentral:rRNA from 1 species
CUGGUUGAUCCUGCCAGAGGUUACUGCUAUCGAGGUUCGACUAAGCCAUGCGAGUCGAAUGUAGCAAUACAUGGCGUACUGCUCAGUAACACGUGGACAACCUAACCUUUAGGUCUGGUAUAACCCCGGGAAACUGGGAAUAAUACCGGAUAUUGUGCGAAUGCUGGAAUGCCUCGCACAAGAAAGCUCCGGCGCCUAAGGAUGGGUCUGCGGCCUAUCAGGGUAGUAGUGGGUGUAACGUACCUACUAGCCUACGACGGGUACGGGUUGUGAGAGCAAGAGCCCGGAGAUGGAUUCUGAGACACGAAUCCAGGCCCUACGGGGUGCAGCAGGCGCGAAAACUUUACAAUGCCGGCAACGGGAUAAGGGAACCUCGAGUGCCAGGAUACAAUCCUGGCUGUCGUAAUGCCUAAAAAGCAUUGCAUAGCAAGGGCCGGGCAAGACCGGUGCCAGCCGCCGCGGUAACACCGGCGGCUCGAGUGGUAACCGUUAUUAUUGGGUCUAAAGGGUCUGUAGCCGGCUGGAUAAGUCUCUUGGGAAAUCCGGCAGCUCAACUGUCGGGCUUUCAGGAGAUACUGUCCGGCUCGAGACCGGGAGAGGUGAGAGGUACUUCAGGGGUAGGGGUGAAAUCUUGUAAUCCUUGAAGGACCACCAGUGGCGAAGGCGUCUCACCAGAACGGAUCUGACGGCAAGGGACGAAAGCUAGGGGCACGAACCGGAUUAGAUACCCGGGUAGUCCUAGCCGUAAACGAUACUCGCUAGGUGUCGGCCACGGUGCGACCGUGGUCGGUGCCGUAGGGAAGCCGUGAAGCGAGCCACCUGGGAAGUACGGCCGCAAGGCUGAAACUUAAAGGAAUUGGCGGGGGAGCAC